rnacentral:rRNA from 1 species
GUGGGGAAUAUUGCGCAAUGGGGGAAACCCUGACCCAGCGACGCCGCGUGAGGGAAGACGGCCUUCGGGUUGUAAACCUCUUUUGUACGGGAAGAAGGAAGUGACGGUACUGUACGAAUAAGUCCCGGCUAACUACGUGCCAGCAGCCGCGGUAAUACGUAGGGGACGAGCGUUGUCCGGAAUUACUGGGCGUAAAGGGCGCGUAGGCGGUCAUUUAAGUCAGCUGUGAAAUGGUCCGGCUCAACCGGAUCAUGCGGUUGAAACUGGAGGACUGGAGUGCUGGAGAGGCAAGUGGAAUUCCCAGUGUAGCAGUGAAAUGCGUAGAUAUUGGGAAGAACACCGGUGGCGAAGGCGACUUGCUGGCCAGCAACUGACGCUGAGGCGCGAAAGCCAGGGGAGCAAACGGGAUUAGAAACCCGAGUAGUCC